UGAGGAAUAUUGCACAAUGGACGCAAGUCUGAUGCAGCAACGCCGCGUGGAGGAUGAAGGCCCUUGGGUCGUAAACUCCUUUUUUCGGGGAAGAGAGAGGACGGUACCCGAAGAAUAAGUCACGGCUAACUACGUGCCAGCAGCCGCGGUAAUACGUAGGUGGCAAGCGUUAUCCGGAAUUACUGGGCGUAAAGCGCACGCAGGCGGUCUUGUAAGUUUGACGUGAAAGCUCCCGGCUUAACUGGGAGAGGUCGUUGAAUACUGCGAGACUUGAGUUUAGGAGAGGGGUGUAGAAUUCCCGGUGUAGUGGUGGAAUGCGUAGAUAUCGGGGGGAAUACCAGUGGCGAAAGCGGCACCCUAGCCUUUGACUGACGCUCAGGUGCGAAAGCGUGGGGAGCGAACGG
rnacentral:rRNA from 1 species